rnacentral:rRNA from 1 species
UAACAAGGAUUCCCCUAGUAACUGCGAGUGAAGCGGGAAAAGCUCAAAUUUUGAAUCUGGCGGGGCCGUCCGAGUUGUAAUCUAGAGAAGCGUCUUCCGCGCUGGACCGUGUACAAGUCUCCUGGAAGGGAGCGUCAUAGAGGGUGAGAAUCCCGUCUUUGACACGGACUUGUGAUGCGCUCUCGACGAGUCGAGUUGUUUGGGAAUGCAGCUCAAAACGGGUGGUAAAUUCCAUCUAAAGCUAAAUACAGGCGAGAGACCGAUAGCGAACAAGUACCGUGAGGGAAAGAUGAAAAGAACUUUGGAAAGAGAGUUAAACAGUACGUGAAAUUGCUGAAAGGGAAACGCUUGAUGUCAGUCGCGUCCGCCGGGGAUCAACCUUGCGCUCGGUGUAUUUCCUGGCUGACGGGUCAGCAUCAGUUU